UGGGGUGCAGCUCAGCAGUAAAGUGCUUGCCUAGCAUGUGUGAGGCCCUGGGUUCAAUCCCCAACACCUCAA
rnacentral:tRNA from 1 species